UCCGGUGGUAAUAGCGGAGGUGUUCACCUGUUCCCAUCCCGAACACAGUAGUUAAGCCCUCCAGCGCCGAUGGUACUAUGCGGGCGACCGCAUGGGAGAGUAGGUCGCUGCCGGAA
rnacentral:rRNA from 1 species